rnacentral:rRNA from 1 species
UACGUAGGGUGCUAGCGUUGUCCGGAAUCAUUGGGCGUAAAGGGUGCGUAGGCGGCGCGGUAAGUCGGGUGUGAAAUCUCGGAGCUUAACUCCGAAACUGCAUUCGAUACUGCCGUGCUUGAGGACUGGAGAGGAGACUGGAAUUUACGGUGUAGCGGUGAAAUGCGUAGAUAUCGGGAGGAACACCUGUGGCGAAAGCGGCUCACUGGACCAUAACUGACGCUGAGGCACGAAAGCGAGGGGAGCAAACAGG